AAAAAGGGCCGGUUAGCUAUGUAUGUCACGCACAUCUUUUAAUUGAUAGGCACUGUAUGGUUAUCAAGAUAUAUGGCUGACAUAAUUUAUGGAUAAUAUAGGAUUGGCUUGCUUGGAUGACCCUCUUUA